rnacentral:rRNA from 1 species
UACGGAAUGUGCAAACGUUAUUCGGAAUCACUGGGCUUAAAGAGUCCGUAGGCGGCAUGUUAGGUGAGGUGUGAAAUCCCCCGGCUCAACCGAGGAAUUGCGCUUCAAACCGGCGUGCUCGAGGAAGAUAGAGGUGGGCGGAACUGAUGGUGGAGCGGUGAAAUGCGUUGAUAUCAUCAGGAACACCGGAGGCGAAGGCGGCCCACUGGGUCUUUCUGACGCUGAGGACGAAAGCUAGGGGAGCGAACGGG